rnacentral:rRNA from 1 species
CGAGCGGCGAACGGGUGAGUAACACGUGAGUAAUCUGCCUCUGGCUUCGGGAUAGCCACCGGAAACGGUGAUUAAUACCGGAUAUGACAUCUUCACGCAUGUGAUGGGUGUGGAAAGUUUUUUCGGCCAGGGAUGUGCUCGCGGCCUAUCAGCUUGUUGGUGGGGUAAUGGCCUACCAAGGCUUCGACGGGUAGCCGGCCUGAGAGGGUGACCGGCCACACUGGGACUGAGACACGGCCCAGACUCCUACGGGAGGCAGCAGUGGGGAAUAUUGGACAAUGGGCGGAAGCCUGAUCCAGCAACGCCGCGUGAGGGAUGACGGCCUUCGGGUUGUAAACCUCUUUCAGCACAGACGAAGCGCAAGUGACGGUAUGUGCAGAAGAAGGACCGGCCAACUACGUGCCAGCAGCCGCGGUAAUACGUAGGGUCCGAGCGUUGUCCGGAAUUAUUGGGCGUAAAGGGCUCGUAGGCGGUUUGUCGCGUCGGGAGUGAAAACACCGGGCUUAACUCGGUGCUUGCUUUCGAUACGGGCAGACUAGAGGCAUUCAGGGGAGAACGGAAUUCCUGGUGUAGCGGUGAAAUGCGCAGAUAUCAGGAGGAACACCGGUGGCGAAGGCGGUUCUCUGGGAAUGUCCUGACGCUGAGGAGCG